GAUGAACGCUGACAGAAUGCUUAACACAUGCAAGUCGAUGGGGAAGUGGUGCUUGCAUCAUGGCAACCAUGGCGGACGGGUGAGUAACGCGUAAGGGACUUACCUGCAGGACUGGGAUAACAGGGGGAAACUCCUGACAAGACCGGAUAAUGUCAUGGAGCUGCAUGGCUUUAUGAUGAAAGGAGACGCCUGCGGAGAGCCUUGCGUCCUAUUAGCUAGUUGGUGAGGUAAUGGCUCACCAAGGCGAAGAUAGGUAGCCGGCCUGAGAGGGUGGACGGCCACAAGGGGACUGAGAUACGGCCCUUACUCCUACGGGAGGCAGCAGUGGGGAAUAUUGGACAAUGGGGGCAACCCUGAUCCAGCAAUUCUGUGUGCACGAAGAAGGUUUUCGGAUUGUAAAGUGCUUUCAGCAGGGAAGAAGUAAGUGACGGUACCUGCAGAAGAAGCGACGGCUAAAUACGUG
rnacentral:rRNA from 1 species